GAUCUGGCUCAGGAUGAACGCUAGCUACAGGCUUAACACAUGCAAGUCGAGGGGCAUCAGGAAGAAAGCUUGCUUUCUUUGCUGGCGACCGGCGCACGGGUGAGUAACACGUAUCCAACCUGCCCUUUACUCGGGGAUAGCCUUUCGAAAGAAAGAUUAAUACCCGAUAGCAUAAUGAUUCCGCAUGGUUUCAUUAUUAAAGGAUUCCGGUAAAGGAUGGGGAUGCGUUCCAUUAGGUUGUUGGUGAGG
rnacentral:rRNA from 1 species